AUCAUCUGCUUUUGGAGGUGGUUAUUUAAGGCACUUGAUUCUGGAAUUAGAGGGAAGCUAAGCAUUGUAACUUCCCUUAAGAAAUGCACCUGAUGUGUACAUGAGGCCUCAUGGUCUACAGCGGUCUCAGAGCCUAAAGCUAGUUUUGUGUGUACCGUGUCAGGGUGAGGGUCUCUUUACAUAUGCAUUUGCCCCACUGGGCCUGUAUGUACAACUUGAUGGCUGUAGGAUUUCCCAACUGCCAUGGGGAAUCCUGUUCUUAGGUUUUCUGUUUAGAAGCUAGUAGCAGGUCAUGACGAUUUUGGGCAUGAUAUUGUUGGCUCUCCUGUCCUGAGGACCUACUGUGUGCCGAAGGCUUUACCCGCAUCGUCACUGCUGGUUCUCAGGAAUCCUGUGUAAGAUGGUGUUGUUUAUUCUACAGGCGAGGAAAUAACCUCCUAAAGGCCACGGAGCUAGUAACCGUCAGACCAGGGGCAUCACCCCAGCUGGCUGAUCUCAUGCUCUUCCACUGCGGCCCCCCUGUAGAGGGUGGCAGUCUGAUUAAGGGCCACCCUCUGGUCUGCUAGUAGGCAGUCCCUUGGGGGCUGCUCAUGGCAGCUCCAGGGCCUCUUGGGGUGCACUCAUUCAUCUGCCUCUUGGCCUCUUCCAACAGUGUGAUGCAUCCCCCGUCUUUGAGAGAACCAGCCAAGACCGUCUCACCUGGUAACACCUGGUAGGGGUAGGAGGUUCAGGAUCCUUGGCACUGGCCACCCUGGGCUUUGUCCAUCAGUCCAAUUGAUUGGUCCUGGAGUCUGGGGCGAGUGUAAUGUCUGAAGCAUGGGAUUCUGACUUUGUAAAAUGUCUUACAACGCAAUCACCAUUGAAAGAGCUGUGUUUUAUUGUUUUUAUGGAUGCUUAAUAGUCUGGACACUCAGGCGCUGCCCUCUGAGCGAGUGAGGGCUCUGCAGGGGCUUCGGGCGAGCCCCGCGGUGCUGGAGAGGAGACCACGGCCAUCGCGGCACGGUCACUGCCUUGUCAGGCUUGGACCCUCCCAUGUCCCUUAAAUAAGGACUGUCUUCUAAGAAAGGGAGAGGACAAGCCAGAGGCCUCCUGGUUCACUGUCUCAUUGCAAUACUGACCAACCCCUGCAGGCCUAGAACCUCUUUCCUUUAGAGCUCUAAGCGGCCCCACUGGGGACAGGGGCGCACCGGUGGUGACACGGCCAGUCUGGCUCUCCAGGGCUGUGAGGGAAAGUCAUUUGCCUCUAACCUCACAGCCCACAUCUGCCAAAUGAGAAGGACAAUGCCCAUGUUGCAAGAAUAAGGAUGAUGAGUUUAGCACCUGCCAGAAUGCAGAUGGUUCAUAAAUGAUUGUUGUUCUUCUUGCUACAUAACAAUCUUACAUAGGCUUUCCCAAGCUCAUAGGAGUUGGGAGGGCUCAGCUCUAGUGUCCCCUUCUUCCUCACCUUACUCUCCCUCCUGCAGCUCUUGGCUGGCCUGACCACAGAAUCCACCUUGCAAUCGUACGCAAAUACAGACUGUGUCUUAUCUGCCUGCUAGAUUGAAGCUCACAGAGGUUAAGGCCUCAAGACAACAGGCUAGUUGGUGGUGGAACUGGGGUUUGAACACUGACCCGUAUUCCUUAUCCCAGGAAAAUGGGAAAAAAUAAUUUAAGGCACCAAGUUCUAGAAACUUGCACAAGGCACUUUCCCUCACUUUUGCUUUGAGUUGGAAUGAGCAGUUCUGCGCUGACCCUCACUGGACACAGGGGACAGGCUAGGCCUCCUGGUCUCCAGCAUGCAGCACAUUUGAUGGGAACCUACCAACUUGCCAGUUUCCCAAUCAGGGUGGACUGCACGGCUUAGAAACACCCCCUUGAGAUAUGGGUCCAAACUCCUGCUAGAGGACAGCCGUGGAGGAAGUGCUCGGAGGGUGCUGGGCCAGCAGGAAGUGGGAGCUGUUUGUAGCACAGAGGAUGUGGCUCAAGACAAGGUAUGAGAAAUGAAAGCUAGGGAGGAAGUAGAAGGGGGAUCCGUAGGUGCCUCGAGGACAAGGAAGUGGCUUUGUUGGCAAAGGUGGAAGGAGAAGACAGCAUGGAGGCUGAGCGCUGGGUGGGGGGCAGGUGUGGAAGCCGCGUGCCCUCUUUCAGUGUCUGCGUGAGGAGCCACACUGGGGCGCCAGGUGAGACUUCUGAUGCAUGCAGGUUCCGAGUCAUUUCUCAGAGGAGCCACAUUUGGGGAGCAAUUUAACUUCCGAAGGCAGUGAACCACUGAGUUCAGAGGUCUAGCAGACAGCAGUGAGGUCCCUUGGGACGUGCUGCUGGCCGGGAGCUACGCUAGGGGCAGGAAACCCCCUGAGCCCCAGUGUUAAAUAAUUCCAUCCUCACAAUGACGCUGAGAGGUGGGCAAGAGCUAUUACCCACACCUGACAGAGAGGAGGCAGCCCAGAGUCCCAGUGCCCAGGUAACUUGUCCAAAAGCAGAGGUCGGCAGCAGGUUGAUUUUAAGCAGUCUCUCUGAUGCCAGAAUCAAGAUUCUUUCUGCCAAGGGGCUUCUUCAUAUCCAGGUCUUGCUUGGAAAUUUUUCUCCCCCUACAUGUGAAUAAGGAGCAUAAUCAGAGGCCAUUUUUAAGGUCAGGGGUCCCUUUGGAAGCCGGGUGAAAGCUGGUGUCUAAGAGGACAUCUACCCUAUGAUUUAGGGGCUAGGGAUCCUGUGAGUGCACCUAUAAGCCCCUUAAUGUCCACGGACACAGUUCAGGAACUCUGGAGAUAAGGGAAGGGAAGCCAGAGGUCAGAAAAGAAAGAGGCCUCAGUGGAAACAGAUUCAAAGACUGAAUUGUCAGUCCAACAUGUGCAUUCUGAAUUUGUUGCCUUGAACAUAACUUGUCUCAAUAAACAUGGCUGUAUUACCUCAUGUGAUAAA